GACGAACGCUGGCGGCGUGCUUAACACAUGCAAGUCGAACGGAAAGGCCCUGCUUUUGUGGGCUGCACGAGUGGCGAACGGGUGAGUAACAAGUGAGUAGUCUGCCGUUGAUAACGGGACAUAUACAGGAGACUGGGACUAAUACCGGAUAGGUGCUCCCGCUGAAUGGUGGGGGAUGGCAAGUUUCGGCGGUUGGGGAUGGGCUCGCGGCUUAUCAGCUUGUUGGUGGGGUAGUGGCUUACCAAGGCAAUGACGGGUAGCCGGCCUGGGAGGGUGAGCGGCCACGUUGGGACUGGGAUACGACACAGACUCCUACGGUAGGCAGCAGUGGGGAAUAUUGUACAAUGGACGGGAGCCUGAUGCAGCAACGCCGCGUGGGGGAUGACAGCCAUCAGGUUGGAAUGCGCAUUCGCCUGUGACGGGGCGUGAGUGACGGUAAUGGGUAAAGAAGCACCGGCUAACUACGUG
rnacentral:rRNA from 1 species